rnacentral:sRNA from 1 species
UGAACUUCCAGUCAAAUAUCACGCAGCGA